rnacentral:rRNA from 1 species
AGAGGCUACUGCUAUCGGGGUUCGAUUAAGCCAUGCGAGUUAAAUGUUCUUCGUGAACAUAGCGAACUGCUCAGUAACACGUGGAUAACCUACCCUUAGGACCGGAAUAACCCCGGGAAACUGGGGAUAAUACCGGAUAAGCCAUAGACGCUGGAAUGCCCUAUGGUUCAAAGCUCCGGCGCCUAAGGAUGGAUCUGCGGUCUAUCAGGUUGUAGUGGGUGUAACGUACCUACUAGCCUACGACGGGUACGGGUUGUGAGAGCAAGAGCCCGGAGAUGGAUUCUGAGACAUGAAUCCAGGCCCUACGGGGCGCAGCAGGCGCGAAAACUUUACAAUGCGGGAAACCGCGAUAAGGGGACACUGAGUGCCAGCAUAUUACGUUGGCUGUCCACAUGUAUAAAAACCAUGUGUUAGCAAGGGCCGGGCAAGACCGGUGCCAGCCGCCGCGGUAACACCGGCGGCCCGAGUGGUGAUCACUUUUAUUGGGUCUAAAGGGUCCGUAGCCGGUUUGAUCAGUCCUCCGGGGAAUCUGACAGCUCAACUGUUAGGCUUCCGGGGGAUACUGUCAGACUUGGGACCGGGAGAGGUAAGAGGUACUACAGGGGUAGGAGUGAAAUCUUGUAAUCCCUGUGGGACCACCAGUGGCGAAGGCGUCUUACCAGAACGGGUCCGACGGUGAGGGACGAAAGCUGGGGGCACGAACCGGAUUAGAUACCCGGGUAGUCCCAGCCGUAAACGAUGCUCGCUAGGUGUC